AGUGAACGCUGGCGGUAGGCCUAACACAUGCAAGUCGAACGGCAGCACAGUAAGAGCUUGCUCUUACGGGUGGCGAGUGGCGGACGGGUGAGGAAUACAUCGGAAUCUACUUUUUCGUGGGGGAUAACGUAGGGAAACUUACGCUAAUACCGCAUACUACCUACGGGUGAAAGCAGGGGAUCUUCGGACCUUGCGCGAUUGAAUGAGCCGAUGUCGGAUUAGCUAGUUGGCGGGGUAAAGGCCCACCAAGGCGACGAUCCGUAGCUGGUCUGAGAGGAUGAUCAGCCACACUGGAACUGAGACACGGUCCAGACUCCUACGGGAGGCAGCAGUGGGGAAUAUUGGACAAUGGGCGCAAGCCUGAUCCAGCCAUACCGCGUGGGUGAAGAAGGCCUUCGGGUUGUAAAGCCCUUUUGUUGGGAAGGAAAAGCAGCAGGUUAAUACCCCGCUGUUCUGACGGUACCCAAAGAAUAAGCACCGGCUAACUUCGUG
rnacentral:rRNA from 1 species